UAAUAACGUAUACAGACAGAGGGAAAUAAAAAAACAAAGUUUUAUUUUUCUUCGAGUCGUAAAGAAAGGAAUCAGUUGCUCAAAGUAGGUAAAAAGGACUCCGACGGUGGGAAUCGCAACCCUAAAUCGGCCGAUGUCAUCAUCCGGGCAACAGCAGUUCCGGUACACACAGACGCCGUCGAAAGUUCUUCACCUCCGGAAUUUGCCAUGGGAUUGCAGCGAUGAAGAGCUUGUAGAGCUUUGCAAGCCCUUUGGUAAAAUUGUCAACACCAAGUGCAACGUCGGGGCCAACCGCAACCAAGCCUUUGUCGAAUUCGCAGACCUUAAUCAGGCAAUUAAUAUGGUUUCAUAUUAUGCCUCGUCUUCAGAGCCUGCUCAAGUUCGUGGCAAGACUGUAUACAUCCAGUAUUCUAACAGGAAUGAGAUUGUCAAUAAUAAGAGUCCUGGAGAUGUUCCAGGAAAUGUUUUGCUGGUAACUAUUGAGGGUGUUGAAGCUGGUGAUGUCAGCAUCGAUGUGAUCCAUUUGGUGUUUUCAGCCUUUGGUUUUGUGCAAAAGAUUGCUACUUUUGAAAAGGCAGCAGGUUUUCAGGCAUUGAUUCAAUUUAGUGAUGUUGGGACAGCAUCUGCUGCUAGAGAGGCACUGGAUGGGAGAAGUAUACCAAAGUACCUGCUUCCAGAACAUGUUAAUCAUUGUCACUUGCGCAUCUCAUACUCUGCACACACGGUACCUAUAUCUAAAUUCAAUCUCAUCGGAGCAGGGACUAUACAAACCCUUAUCUCCCAGUAAAUCCUACUGCAAUGGAGGGGCUUCUUCAGCCUGUUGUAGGUCCAGAUGGAAAGAAAAAGGAACCCGAGAGUAAUGUGCUUUUUGCCUCUCUAGAAAAUAUGCAGUAUGCUGUUACUAUUGAUGUCCUUCACACGGUAUUCUCUGCAUUUGGCACUGUCCAAAAGAUUGCUAUAUUUGAGAAGAAUGGUCAAACCCAGGCAUUAAUUCAGUAUCCUGAUGUAACAACUGCAGCUGCUGCAAAGGACGCUUUAGAGGGACACUGCAUAUAUGAUGGUGGCUAUUGUAAGCUUCAUCUAUCAUACUCUCGUCAUACUGAUCUGAAUAUACAGGCAUACAGUGACAAAAGUAGAGAUUACACAGUUCCAGAAUCAAGUUUGCUUGCAAUGCAACAAGUAUCAGCGGUCCAUGCCACACCACCAGUUUGGCAUAACCCUCAGUCUGGUCCACAGUCAUUUGGCUAUGCCGCUGCUGGUGCUGUUCCUGGCCAAGCAUCUACAUCCCAAAUGUCCUCAUGGAAUCCAAAUUUGCAGGGUGGCGGAUCAACCUUUCCGUCUGCUCCUAACAGAUUUCCUGGGCAAUCAUAUGCUUCACCAGUUUCUGCUUAUGCAACAGCAGUAAAUCCUCCUGGAUCGUCACAGCAGACCAAUCACAUUGUUAGUAGUGGUCGAUCUUAUAGUGUAAGUCAGCCUCCUCAUCCAUCAACCAUGCCGCCUGGAGGUGUUCCACCUCCUGGUCAUGCACCUUAUCACGGUUAAUAGCGCUCGUGGGAACAUCGAGCUGCUAUUGAUUCAGAAGACCAAGAUUCUUAUUCACUGAUGGAGGUGAUGUCAGCUGUAUACAAUCCCAUUUUCUUUCUCUCGAAGUUCACUGCUAAAUUUAAGUUUUGGCUUUCUUGAUGAAUCGAACUAACUGUUUGGUCUGCGAGUGGAAGAAUCAUCUGUGAUCACAUUAUGAGCUGUCUUUCUUAAUAGUAAUGGUGGUUUUUCUUAUUGGCAUAUUAUUAUUGUUGUUCCUGUUAUGUUGUAAGCAUUUAAUCGUCUUUAGAAAUUCUGCAAUGGUAAUGGGUCAAUGAAGUAUUUAAGGUGAUUCAACGGCUUAUAUCCCUCAUUGUUCAGGAUCAUACGAAGAUUUUACUUUUUAUUGCACGUAUCUUUGUAUAACUACCUAAUUGGUGAUGUUUGUAGAAAAAUAUUCCCUGACA